UACGGAGGGUGCGAGCGUUACCCGGAUUUACUGGGUGUAAAGGGCGUGUAGGCGGUCUUUCAAGUCCGAGGCUAAAGACCGUGGCUCAACCUCGGGAGUGCGUUGGAUACUGUGAGGCUAGACGGUCGGAGAGGUAAGCGGAAUUCUCGGAGUAGCGGUGAAAUGCGCAGAUACCGAGAGGAACGCCAAUAGCGAAGGCAGCCGCCUGGACGAUUUGUGACGCUGAGGCGCGAAAGCGUGGGGAGCAAACCGG
rnacentral:rRNA from 1 species